UUUGCUUUUGAAUGUAUUGUUAACUAAUAGUAUCUGUUGUCAAUUUUAUUAUGACACAACAUACAAAUCAGAUAAUUCAUUGGUUUAUUCCUUGCAAAAGACUUAUCCUGCUGCACAUUAUGAAGCCUUUUUGAGAUAUCUUCAAUCUACCCAGCCUA
rnacentral:lncRNA from 1 species